rnacentral:rRNA from 1 species
GACAGAGGGUGCAAACGUUGUUCGGAAUUACUGGGCGUAAAGCGCGUGUAGGCUGCUCGGAAAGUCGGAUGUGAAAGCCCUGGGCUCAACCUAGGAAGUGCAUUCGAAACUUCUGAGCUGGAGUGCUGGAGAGGAAGGCGGAAUUCUCGGUGUAGCGGUGAAAUGCGUAGAGAUCGGGAGGAACACCGGCGGCGAAGGCGGCUGCCUGGACCGGCCCUGACGCUGAGGCGCGAAAGCUAGGGGAGCAAACAGG